rnacentral:rRNA from 1 species
CGCCUAACACAUGCAAGUCGAACGCAGUAGCAAUACUGAGUGGCAAACGGGUGAGUAUAAUGUGGGAAUCUGCCUUUUGGUCUGGAAUAACACGAGGAAACUUGUGCUAAUACCGGAUAAGCCUUUACAGGGAAAGUUUUAACGCCGAAAGAUGAGCCUGCACUUGAUUAGCUAGUUGGUAAGGUAAAAGCUUACCAAGGCAAUGAUCAAUAGCUGUUCUUAGAGGAAGACCAGCCACAUUGGGACUGAGACACGGCCCAGACUCCUACGGGAGGCAGCAGUGGGGAAUCUUGCACAAUGGGGGAAACCCUGAUGCAGCGAUGCCGCGUGAGUGAAGAAGGCCCUUGGGUUGUAAAACUCUUUCGUCGGGGAAGAAAAUGACUGUACCCGAAUAAGAAGGUCCGGCUAACUUCGUGCCAGCAGCCGCGGUAAUACGAAGGGACCUAGCGUAGUUCGGAAUUACUGGGCUUAAAGAGCUCGUAGGUGGUUAAAAAAGUUGAUGGUGAAAUCCCAAGGCUCAACCUUGGAACUGCCAUCAAAACUUUUUAGCUAGAGUAUGACAGAGGUAAGUGGAAUUUCUAGUGUAGAGGUGAAAUUCGUAGAUAUUAGAAAGAACACCAAAUGCGAAGGCAACUUACUGGGUCAUUACUGACACUGAGGAGCGAAAGCAUGGGUAGCGAAGAGGAUUAGAUACCCUCGUAGUCCAUGCCGUAAACGAUGUGUGCUAGACGUUGGAAAUAUAUUUUUCAGUGUCGCAGCGAAAGCAUUAAGCACACCGCCUGGGGAGUACGACC